rnacentral:rRNA from 1 species
AUUGAACGCUGGCGGCAGGCCUAACACAUGCAAGUCGAGCGGUAACACAGAGAGCUUGCUCUCGGGUGACGAGCGGCGGACGGGUGAGUAAUGUCUGGGAAACUGCCUGAUGGAGGGGGAUAACUACUGGAAACGGUAGCUAAUACCGCAUAACGUCGCAAGACCAAAGAGGGGGACCUUCGGGCCUCUUGCCAUCAGAU